AAAAUGCGGGGCUUUGCUUUUCAGGCGCCCAACCUCCCACCCUUGAAUACUGAACACUGUUGCUUCGGCGGGGCGUCCCCCUGGAACUCUCCGGGAGGGGCAAGCCGCCGGAGACCACCGAACUUCAUGCCUGAGAGUGAUGCAGUCUGAGCCUGAAAUAUAAAUCAGUCAAAACUUUCAACAAUGGAUCUCUUGGUUCCGGCAUCGAUGAAGAACGCAGCGAACUGCGAUAAGUAAUGUGAAUUGCAGAAUUCAGUGAAUCAUCGAGUCUUUGAACGCACAUUGCGCCCCCUGGCAUUCCGGGGGGCAUGCCUGUCCGAGCGUCAUUGCUGCCCUUCAAGCCCGGCUUGUGUGUUGGGUCGUCGUCCCCCCCGGGGGACGGACCCGAAAGGCAGCGGCGGCACCGUGUCCGGUCCUCGAGCGUAUGGGGCUUUGUCACCCGCUCGAUUAGGACCGGCCGGGCGCCCGCCGGCGUCAAACCCCAAUCUUUCUAAGGUUGACCUCGGAUCAGGUAGGGAUACCCGCUGAACUUAAGCAUAUCAAUAAGCGGAGGAA
rnacentral:rRNA from 1 species